UUGGAGGGCAAGUCUGGUGCCAGCAGCCGCGGUAAUUCCAGCUCCAAUAGCGUAUAUUAAAGUUGUUGCAGUUAAAAAAGCUCGUAGUUGAAUUUCGGGGUUCUACCGUUGGUCGGGCUAACCAGUCUGUACUAGCGUGUAGAAUUCCUACCUUCUGGGGAACCAUCAUGUUAUUAAUUUAGCGUGGUGGGAAACCAGGACCUUUACCUUGAAAAAAUUAGAGUGUUCAAAGCAGACUUACGUCUGAAUACAUUAGCAUGGAAUAAUAAAAUAGGACGGUGGUCCUGUUUUG
rnacentral:rRNA from 1 species